rnacentral:lncRNA from 1 species
CAGUUGUAAUGAUGCUACUAGAGGUGAUUGCUCAGAGGGAUUGGAUGAGUCGGUCGGACGAAUUCGGCCAAAACAUACCGUUGGAAAGCUCGUUUGCACAUGUUUAUAUACCUGGCGGGCGGACUAUGCCGCAUUUACCACCAUUAUCUUGGAAAAAGGAUCAUAUCUCCUUAGGUUGCUGUAAUGCCGCAGUGUGCCAUUGGAGCACCUUGCAUUCCUGUGACCAUGAGCCCGUGCAGGAAAUGAAACGGUUCAAUACGGUCGAGCUG